UGAUGCUCCCAGCCGGGUCGUGCUGCCAUUCAUUAAGACCAUCCAGGCCACUGCCGACACCCUCUGGCAGUUUCCAGCCUCCAUUCCACCGACGGCAAAGGGAAUUGAGAGAAAGUACAUGGUACUCUCUCGGGGGUACGAGUACUUGUAUGUCCAUCCUCCUCCCUCCUCCUUAAUUGUCCAGUCGGUCAACGAAAGGGAACGACAUGGCCAGCAGGCACCGGCCCCAAAGUCCAAAGAGGCCAGACAUUUUACACCGCCCGUAUUUUACACCUCGCCAGAGGCAGGACCUCAGUAGAAGCCACGGGCGGGGGGGGGGGNGCCAGUCCAGUUCACAAGGGGGCCAAAACCAUGGGCCCUCUAAGGCACCACCGGGCCCCAAGUCCAACUUUUGAAGGUGCGCCCGGGGACGGCAUACCAGCCUCAGGACAGGAUCCUUUCCCUCCCUUCUCCAAACACCUCUCCCACUUCCUCCCGGCGUGGUCCCAAGUGACAUCGGAUCUUUGGGUUCAGCACACAGUGAAGCAAGGAUACCACCUCCAAUUUGCUUCAUCACCACCCUCCCGCCCCCCUUCCCGGUCCCUCUUCAGGGUCCCCUCUCAUGAGCAAGCCCUCCUACAGGAGGUCCAAUCUCUCCUCGCUGCAGGAGCUAUAGAGGAGGUACCUUUAGAUGAGAGAGGAAAGGGGUUUUUUCCGAUAUUUUCUGAUUCCCAAGUCCAAGGGAGGCCUCAGACCUAUCCUAGACCUGCGCGGACUCAACAAAUGGAUGCUCAAGUUGAAGUUCCGCAUGGUCUCCCUGGGAACGAUUAUCUCAUCCCUGGAUCCUGGAGACUGGUAUGCCGCCCUCGACAUGAAGGAUGCGUACUUCCAUAUUGCCAUCUUUCCACCGCACAGGAAGUACCUUUGCUUUAUGGCCAACCACCAGCACUUCCAAUUCACAGUCGUCCCCUUCGGCCUCUCCACGGCCCCGAGGGUGUUUACGAAGUGCAUGGCCGUCGUUGCCGCCCACCUCUGCCGGCAACGGAUACAUGUGUUCCCGUAUCU
rnacentral:lncRNA from 1 species